rnacentral:rRNA from 1 species
UACGUAGGGGGCAAGCGUUGUCCGGAUUUAUUGGGCGUAAAGAGCGUGUAGGCGGCCAGAUAGGUCCGUUGUGAAAACUCGAGGCUCAACCUCGAGACGCCGAUGGAAACCAUCUGGCUAGAGUCCGGAAGAGGAGAGUGGAAUUCCUGGUGUAGCGGUGAAAUGCGCAGAUAUCAGGAAGAACACCCGUGGCGAAGGCGGCUCUCUGGGACGGUACUGACGCUGAGACGCGAAAGCGUGGGGAGCGAACAGG